UACAGAGGGGGCAAGCGUUAUUCGGAAUUAUUGGGCGUAAAGGGCGCGUAGGCGGCCAUUCAAGUGACGGGUGAAAGCCCUCGGCUUAACCGAGGAACUGCCUGUCAGACUGGAUGGCUUGAGACCGGGAGAGGUGAGUGGAAUUCCCAGUGUAGCGGUGAAAUGCGUAGAUAUUGGGAGGAACACCAGUGGCGAAGGCGGCUCACUGGACCGGAACUGACGCUGAGGCGCGAAAGCCAGGGGAGCAAACAGG
rnacentral:rRNA from 1 species